rnacentral:lncRNA from 1 species
UAUCACUUCGGCAGAUAUCGGACGAUGUCGGUAUUUUCCGGAAUUUUCAUUCAGGAACUUAGUUUCAUUUUAUUUUUUACAUUUUUGAAUAUCAUUUAAUAAAACCAUUAAUAAAAAGACAAAUACAUAAAGAAUUUUUACCAAUAGUUUUCUAUUAUCAAAAAAUUACGGAGUUCUCGUCUACUCUCUUACAACGAGAUGCAAUGGCGGCGCCCAUGAAAAAACAUUGCGAAUGCCGAUUUAAAAAAAAAUAAACAAUGAUAAACGUUUCACAUUGAAUUAACAGUCUAUCGAGUGAUCAUAUGGUACGAUGGGCGCCAAAAAAUUAUCAUCUAUUGUGCUAACAAGACCUGUCGGCUCUGAAUAUGCUGUGAAUAGCCCAAAACAUCCGGAUUGACGUCAUUUCGACAUGUACAAUGAUCAGAUGAUAUAGAAAAAGUAGGCAUCGAAAACAACGAUUGUCCACAAAACGCUUGAUUUAGCAAUGGUCUGUGUUGAUGCUAUUUUCUCUGAAAGCAAACUGUCUGUAAUCUGCAGCCAUUCAGCUACUGUUCCAGAAACUUGAAGGCGUAAAAAGUGAGCUGCCAUUACCACAGUACCUCAGAUAUGUAGGAACCAUGACAUUCGGGCAUUUCUGUUCUGUUGAAAUAAUACUUGAGCUGGAACCAUGACAUGAAAGAAGACCUUAAGAAAUAUAUGCAAGUGGAGAUUGAGACAUUAAAUUUGAAAAAUGAAAAGACUUAUGAAGCAAAUAGCAAGUUCUGAAUGCUUCAAACUAACUGUUAGUAGACUUUGGAUGAUUUACUGCAAACGUAGGGCAAAAAAGACUCAGAUACAAAUGUAUCAUAACAAUGCUUACAUGCCAAACUUCCAGGGCAUCUAUACAGGAGAAUUCAUUUGAAAGUCCAGGAGAUUUCAGAAUUUACAUUGUACCUAGUUUAAUAGUAUAAUUAAAAAGAUAGUUCUGAAUUCUUUUUGGUAAAUCUGAUUCAUUUUUAAAUCUACAAGGUAUUGUCAUCAUUUUUUGAUCUUUGUCAGCUUUGGUCUUGGUUAACAUUUUUGCUUAUGUUCCUCUUUUCUUCGAAACUAUAAGAAAUAUAGAUUUGAAACUUAGUUCACCUGUUUUUCAUCAUUAGAUAGCCAAGAGUCAUAAUUCCCACUUCUGUCACUUUUUGGCAGAAUUAUGACCCCUUGUGUACCUAGAAAAUUGGAAUUUCUUGGUUAAAUAUUUGGUUAAAUUAAAUGUUUCAUACUUUAAGAGCUAUAGCUUGAAACUUUAAAUGCUUGUUUAUCAUCAUUAGUUGACUAAAUAGGUCAUGAACCAUAACUAUUGCUUGUAUUCUGUCAGAAUAUGGGCUUUUUAAAUUUGUAUUUCUUGGUCAAUUUUUUGUUUAGCUCGACUAUUUGAAGAAUAGGUAGAGCUAUCCUACUCAUCACGGCGUCAGCGUCGGCGUCACACCUUAGUUGAUUUUUUCGUACCAUUUCACAUAUUGACAAAACUUUUUGAGGUAAUGCUUUAAAACUUUCAACACUUGUGUACCAUCACCGUGUCAAGUUUUAGGCAAGAAUACUUAACUCCAUCAAGGAUUUUGGCUGAAUUAUGGUCCCUUUUAACUUACAAAUCUUGGUUAAGUUUUCAUACCAGUUCAUAUAUUGUGCAGACUGUUUGGUAUGUGGCUUUGGAACGUUUAUACCACUUGUUUAUUUUAUCUUUAGGCCUGGCAAGAGUACAUAACUCUGUCAAGUAUUUUGGCUGAUUUAUGGUCUUUUUGGACUUGAAAAUUGGUUCAGUUUUUGUACAAGUCCAUGUUUUGUCAAAACU